CUAGUGCUAAAUAUAUUCCAAGCAAAUAAAAUCUUUAGUAGGCCCACAAGAUAACGGUAUUUAAAAGACAUGUCUUAGAUUAGGAAAACACAAUUUCCAUAGGCUUUUUUUGGGGGG